GACUGAGCCCCAGUGAGACUGAGCCCCAGUGUGACUGAGCCCCAGUGUGACUAAGCCCCAGUGUGACUGAGCCCCAGUGUGACUGAGCCCCAGUGUGACUGAGCCCCAGUGUGACUGAGCCCCAGUGUUACUGAGCCCCAGUGUGACUAAGCCCCAGUGUGACUGAGCCCCAGCUGAGGGAAGAAGUGCAACUGCCAACACCAGAGUCCGAAGGGAUACAUUCUAAUAACAAGUAUAUCACAUCUGCACAUUAUACAGAUAAGACAUCUUAAUUAUCUAUGUUACCCAACUAAUUCUGAUUCAUCCGCCACAGACACUUGAU
rnacentral:lncRNA from 1 species